AGAGUAUAUUCCUGAAAAAGAAGAGAAAAGAGAAGGAGCUAUCGUCGCACAGAACAUUACUUCGAAAUAAAGACAAUCAAACUGCAGUUAAAUGCAAAGAUUCAUCCCAAAUGAAAAAGUAAUAAAAAAAAAAACAAAAAAGAAGAAAGAAAAAAAGGGCAAAGCAAAGGUCAUCGCAUUACUUUAUUUUUUAUACACAUAUUUAUAAAUAAAUAUAUAUAUAUGUGAAACUGAGAGGAAAAAAAAAGUGGAGAAAUGCUCGUUAACAGUUUGCAGCCGUAUUUGACGCUGGUUGAGGCGAAAGGUUUCAGUUACCAGGAUAUUAAUUAGCAAUUUAGUUGGACG